ACCUCCAACUACCAUCCUUCUUCUUGACCAGCAACACUUGAGAAGAAAAUGGACUGUGGCUGACCUAGAUUAACCCUGUUUGUAGCAUAGUGGAUAUUUGUCGUUCAAGCUCGGCUUUCUGGCUAUGAGGGUAACGAUAUGGGCGAGUGUUAACAGGUUGAGAAUUUGGUUGUAGGUGGAUAUGGUGGGAUAUAGAACGCGGUGGUAGGAGGGCCGUUGGUUCCUGAAAGAGGUGA
rnacentral:misc_RNA from 1 species